UACAGGGGGUGCAAACGUUGCUCGGAAUUAUUGGGCGUAAAGGGCUCGUAGGCGGCCAACUAAGUCAGACGUGAAAUCCCUCGGCUUAACCGGGGAACUGCAUCUGAUACUGGAUGGCUUGAGUUCGGGAGAGGGAUGCGGAAUUCCAGGUGUAGCGGUGAAAUGCGUAGAUAUCUGGAGGAACACCGGUGGCGAAGGCGGCAUCCUGGACCGACACUGACGCUGAGGAGCGAAAGCCAGGGGAGCAAACGGG
rnacentral:rRNA from 1 species